rnacentral:misc_RNA from 1 species
ACGUGUAAUAGCCGGCAGUUGUCAUGACUGUCGGUCUAUAAUAACUCUGUUAUACCCUUGUGGUGAAAAUAGGAAACUAGUGUGAUUGUGGCGAGUGCGGUUAAACGCGUGAGCCACAGUCCUCUUCUUAACCCAAAAACAUUAUCAACUCUACUUGUCUAAAGUAACCUUGUGGACCAGAGGGGACUUGUCCUCUUGCAUCACCAAGUAAAACAAUAGUAAUCUAAUA